GACGAACGUUGGCGGCGUGCUUAAUACAUGCAAGUCAACUGAAGCAGUGGUAGCAAUAUCGCUGUGGAGGUGGCGCACGGGUGAGUAACACGUAGGUAAUCUGCCUUCAGGUCUGGCAUAACUCCGGGAAACCGGGGCUAAUAGCAGAUGAUGCAGCGGCUCGACAUCGAGACAGUUGAUAAAGCUAUGGCGCCUGAAGAUGAGCCUGCGUCUGAUUAGCUAGUUGGCGGGGUAACGGCCCACCAAGGCAACGAUCAGUAGCUGGUCUGAGAGGAUGAUCAGCCACAAUGGAACUGAGACACGGUCCAGACUCCUACGGGAGGCAGCAGUAAGGAAUAUUGCUCAAUGGGAGAAAUCCUGAAGCAGCAACGCCGCGUGAGGGACGAAGGGCUUUUGCUUGUAAACCUCUGUAGUGAGAGAAAAAAAUCCCAAUCUUUGGGACAUGAUGGUAUCUCAAAAGUAAGCCCCGGCUAACUACGUG
rnacentral:rRNA from 1 species